GCUGGGCAUGGUGAUGCAUGCCUGUAAUCCCAGCUACUCGGGAGGCUGAGGCAGGAGAAUCGCUUGAACCCGGGAGGCAGAGGUUGCAGUGAGCCGAGAUCGCACCACUGCACUCCAGCCUGGGUGACAGAGUGAGAGUCUGUCUCAA
rfam:Pan troglodytes isolate Yerkes chimp pedigree #C0471 (Clint) chromosome 9, whole genome shotgun sequence.